UGCGUAGGCGGACUAAUAAGUCAGUGGUGAAAUCUUUCGGCUUAACCGGGAAACUGCCAUAGAUACUGUUAGUCUUGAGUUCGGUUGAGGUAGGCGGAAUGUGUAAUGUAGCGGUGAAAUGCUUAGAUAUUACACAGAACACCAAUUGCGUAGGCAGCUUACUAGACCGACACUGACGCUGAGGCACGAAAGCGUGGGGAGCGAACAGGAUUAGAUACCCUGGUAGUCC
rnacentral:rRNA from 1 species